rnacentral:rRNA from 1 species
CAAUAGCGUAUAUUAAUGUUGUUGCAGUUAAAAAGCUCGUAGUUGGAUUUCUGGUCGGGACGUCUGGCCGGCUCCGCAAGGGGUCGUUUGCAGGGACUGUUUCCCGACCAUCCUCAGGUAGACCAGCACUGGCAUUCACUUGUCGGUGUUGGAACGCCUGUCGUUUACUGUGAACAAAUUAGAGUGUUCAAAGCAAGGUUUUACUUGAAUACAUUAGCAUGGAAUAAUAAGAUAGGACUUUGGUGGUUCUUUUAUUAGAUAUUUUGUUGGUUUGCACGCCAAGGUAAUGAUUAAUAGGAGCAGUUGGGGGUAUUCGUAUUCAAUUGUCAGAGGUGAAAUUCUUGGAUUUAUAGAAGACGAACUACUGCGAAAGCAUUUACCAAGGAUGUUUNCAUUAA